GUGGAUAUAGGUGCCAAAAUUAAACUUGGUUUUUAGGUUUUUGGGUUCAGAAACUUCGGACUCCCUCAAUCUCUCAGACUCUCAGAAUCUCAUCCCUCUCUCUCCGACUCUCAGACUCACUCUCCCCCAAUCUCCUCCGCAAAUGAUGGUCAACGGCAUGGGCACAGUGGCCCGAAGACACAUCAAUCUUCUCUCAAUCUAUCCUCGAAUCUGAUUCCGGUCCGACCCUCUCCUCGAACCCAAUCUGGCCGAAUUGUUGUGUAUCAAUUUGCCAACCGCAGUUUCAAAUUGGAUUGAAGCUUGAGCUUCAACCAGGUGACACUAACUUUAUAAUUCUUUGGAGACUUUGAAGAAAAAAAAAAGAAUUUUAGCAGAGUAGAGAGAACCCAAUGAUAGUUUUGCUCCACUGGUUGCCACAACUUCCUUUCUCUGCUGCUUUGUAAAGAAAAUCCAAACUCCCAAGUCAAGAUGAGUUUGGCUAUCAAUCAUUGCGGCGGUUACAGCAUUAAUAAGUCUGCUGCAACGUUUUGUUAAAACAAGGGGAUUUGUCAAAACAAUGAGUCCUAUCAAGUAUCGGCUGCUGCAACGUCCAAGGUUUAUGAGUUAGCAAUUGAAUAUGGCUCAUCAAGGCAAAGAAGCUUUUCAAUCACCUCAAUAACUCAGAUUAUGUAGGUCAUGAUACUGAGCCUACCGAGCGUCAGCAUUAUGUAUUUUAAUUUUUGAAUGUUUUUGUAUUUUCAAGAUUGGUGAAGUUGUAUGAAAUGUAUAGAAAUAAUGUGAAAAAAAACAUAUGAAAUUAUGAUUUAUAUGGCUU